CCACCGGCCAUAUCUUCCUCCUCCGGCCACCGAUCCUCACCAAACUUCUUCCAUUGGCUUCGUAUGGUCCUUGCGCACCUGUCUGUGGCAGCCUUUCAUGGCGGCGCGGCCUGUAGCGGCGGCGGAAAGCUUGUUCCGAUUUAAGCCCGAUUUUGAGUCAACGCCGAUAUCUUGAGUUUCCGGCCACCUUUCUUUGUGAUUCUUGGCUUGAUGAACUCGCCUUGAGAUUCUGAACCAGUCUCCAGAAGGAAUCGAAGCGAGUGGUGGACGUUUUCACGCUGAUCGGAGCUCUCGCCGGAUUCUGGAAAAAUUCCGGCCACCGUGACUGAGUUUGGUGAUCGAUGGAUUUAUUUGGCGGACGAUUCGUGAGAUUGUUAAUUGAGCUGUUAAGAAGACGCAGCUGGAUCAGAGCGGAUAAUCCUACAGGACUGGAGAAUUCAGGAAGGUGAUCGAACCGUGUAGAGUAGCUGCUUUGUAAUACUCUGAUUUUCAGUUGUGAGGUUUGUUAUGCUCAUUAGAGCUUUACAAGUUACUUUGUACGAGUGAGUUGUAAUAAUUAACUCGAGGUCUUCGAGUUUUGAAUUUGAGCGUGAGUGGCGAGGUUGUUUCUGAAAAAAAAAAAUUCAGAACGUUUAUUUGUUUAAGUUGUUUAAUUCAUGUUUCGGAUUUGAAUUUGUUAUUCAAAA